AACACAGGUAAACAAAGCAGCAGUAGAGAUUUUGAACUUACAAUCAUGAACAAGCUGGUGCCAGCAAGCGCAAGGGGAAUGGCAACAGAGGUGAUCACGUCGUAACGCCCUUUGAGGUGGGUGUGCUUGCUCAACUUCUGGAAAUACUGCUGCUGCUGCACAAUCUUCU